GACGAACGCUGGCGGCGUGCUUAACACAUGCAAGUCGAACGGAAAGGCCCUGCUUUUGUGGGGUGCUCGAGUGGCGAACGGGGGAGUAACACGUGAGUAACCUGCCCUUGACUUUGGGAUAACUUCAGGAAACUGGGGCUAAUACCGGAUAGGAGCUCCUGCUGCAUGGGGGGGGUUGGAAAGUUUCGGCGGUUGGGGAUGGACUCGGGGCUUUUCAGCUUGUUGGUGGGGUAGUGGCUUACCAAGGCUUUGACGGGUAGCCGGCCUGAGAGGGUGACCGGCCACAUUGGGACUGAGAUACGGCCCAGACUCCUACGGGAGGCAGCAGUGGGGAAUAUUGCACAAUGGGCGGAAGCCUGAUGCAGCAACGCCGCGUGCGGGAUGACGGCCUUCGGGUUGUAAACCGCUUUCGCCUGUGACGAAGCGUGAGUGACGGUAAUGGGUAAAGAAGCACCGGCUAACUACGUG
rnacentral:rRNA from 1 species